ACAAGCAGCGGAGCGUGUGGUUUAAUUCGUUGCUACACGAAGAACUUACCUGGGUUUGACAUAUAGGUUGUAGGGAACUGAAAGGGACCGACCCUUCGGGAGCCUAUACAGGUGUUGCAUGGCUGUCGUCAGCUCGUGUCGUGAGAUGUUCGGUUAAGUCCGCUAACGAGCGCAACCCUCGUCGUAUGUUAUAUGUGUCAUACGAGACUGCCGGUAAAAGCCGGAGGAAGGUGAGGAUGAUGUCAAGUCAGCAUGACCUUUAUAUCCAGGGCUACACACACGCUACAGUGGUCUGUACAAUGGGUAGCCAAGCCGCGAGGCGGAGCCAAUCCUGAAAGCAGGCCUCAGUUCAGAUUGCAGUCUGCAACUCGACUGCAUGAAGCCGGAGUUGCUAGUAACCGCAGGUCAGCAAUACUGCGGUGAAUACGUUCCCGGGUCUU
rnacentral:rRNA from 1 species